rnacentral:rRNA from 1 species
UACGUAGGGUGCAAGCGUUAAUCGGAAUUACUGGGCGUAAAGCGUGCGCAGGCGGCUAUGCAAGACAGAUGUGAAAUCCCCGGGCUCAACCUGGGAACUGCAUUUGUGACUGCAUGGCUAGAGUACGGUAGAGGGGGAUGGAAUUCCGCGUGUAGCAGGUGAAAUGCGUAGAUAUGCGGAGGAACACCGAUGGCGAAGGCAAUCCCCUGGACCUGUACUGACGCUCAUGCACGAAAGCGUGGGGAGCAAACAGG